AGAGUAAAGAUUCUAGUUAGACUUUUGUACUUGAUCCUAAUAUGUUCUAAGGUCUUUUAGAACAAAUAUAACUCCCACUAUUUUCUCGAAUUCCUCACACUCCCCUGGUAGGAAAACGGAAAUCCUACGCGACUAGGGUUUCUAGUGGGUACUGCGGUCCCACCAAUUUACAUGCCACCUCACCUAACAGUUAUUGGUGACACAUAGAU
rnacentral:lncRNA from 1 species